rnacentral:rRNA from 1 species
AACGAACGCUGGCGGCAUGCCUAACACAUGCAAGUCGAACGAGACCUUCGGGUCUAGUGGCGCACGGGUGCGUAACGCGUGGGAACCUGCCCUUAGGUUCGGAAUAACUCCCCGAAAGGGGUGCUAAUACCGGAUAAUGUCUUCGGACCAAAGAUUUAUCGCCUUUGGAUGGGCCCGCGUUGGAUUAGCUAGUUGGUAGGGUAAAAGCCUACCAAGGCGACGAUCCAUAGCUGGUCUGAGAGGAUGAUCAGCCACACUGGGACUGAGACACGGCCCAGACUCCUACGGGAGGCAGCAGUGGGGAAUAGUGGACAAUGGGCGAAAGCCUGAUCCAGCAAUGCCGCGUGAGUGAUGAAGGCCUUAGGGUGGUAAAGCUCUUUUACACGGGAUGAUAAUGACAGUACCGGGAGAAUAAGCUCCGGCUAACUACGUG